rnacentral:rRNA from 1 species
CAGCAGCCGCGGUAAUACGAAGGGUGCAAGCGUUACUCGGAAUUACUGGGCGUAAAGCGUGCGUAGGUGGUGGUUUAAGUCCGUUGUGAAAGCCCUGGGCUCAACCUGGGAAUUGCGAUGGAUACUGGGCGACUAGAGUGCGGUAGAGGAUAGUGGAAUUUCCGGUGUAGCAGUGAAAUGCGUAGAGAUCGGAAGGAACAUCUGUGGCGAAGGCGACUAUCUGGGCCGACACUGACACUGAGGCACGAAAGCGUGGGGAGCAAACAGGAUUAGAUACCCCAGUAGUCCCUGUCUCUUAUAC